AACUGCAGAUAGCAGCAUGACGUAAAGCAGACGUUUUGUUUCCCAGUCCAAUUUUAGUCAGAUAUUCUUGGUGGUAUGAAACCUGGAGUCAACACAGGUUUUUAGAGGUCUGCAAGUACAGAGUUUUAAAUUGUGAAACAAAACCUCUAACCAGAUCACAGAGUGUGUGUGUGUUAUGCUGUGCUGAGAUAUUGCUGUGACAUAUGGUGCUUUUAGGUCCACAACCUGGUAUUAUAUGAGUUGACAUCUGUACAAGACAUCCUACUGUACACAGAUCUGAGUGAGCAAUGGCCCAAGACACCUUGUUAAUGCUGCCCUGUUACCUACUGAGUUUCUAUAUACAAGUCAAGUA
rnacentral:lncRNA from 1 species